GGCUGCCCGCCUGCUUGCUCGCCCGCCCGCCUGCGCCCGCCCGCCCGCGAUGAAGGCGGCCCAGGCCGCGGGCGCCGAGGCGUCGCCGGGAGCGCGGUCCGUCAAGGUGGUCCUGGUCGGCGACGGCGGCUGCGGGAAGACGUCGCUGCUGAUGGUCUUCGCCGAGGGGGCCUUCCCAGAGAGCUACACCCCCACUGUGUUUGAGCGGCUCGCCGUUAAUCUGGAGAUGAAGGGCAAACCCUUGAACCUCCAAAUCUGGGACACAGCAGGGCAAGUUGACUAUGACCGCCUGCGGCCCCUCUUCUAUCCCGACGCCAGUGUCCUGCUCCUCUGCUUUGACGUCACCAGCCCGCACAGCUUUGACAACAUCUUUAACCGGUGGUACCCAGAGGUGAACCACUUCUGCAAGAAGGUGCCCAUCAUCGUCGUGGGCUGCAAGACUGACCUGCGCAAGGACAAGUCACUGGUGAAGAAGCUGCGGAAAAAUAGGUUGGAGCCUGUGACCUAUCACAGGGGCCAGGAGAUGGCGAGGUCCGUGGGCGCAGUGGCCUACCUCGAGUGCUCAGCCCUGCUCCAAGAAAACGUCCACGCGGUCUUCCAGGAGGCGGCCAAGGUGGCCCUCAGCAGCCGCCGUCGCAACUUCUGGAGGAGAGUUACCCGGAUCUGUUGCAUGGUGACCUGACAUCGCGAGGCCCUCCCUACCCCAACCACCCCAGCAGCACAGGAAGGAGCUGGGCGCUGAGCUGCCCGUUUGGCUGGGCUGGACCCAGUCCCCAGGCUGUGAUCACUGAACUGCAUGUCAAACCAAUGGACACCGCCAAGGCCGGGCCCCUGACCCUGGGGCUGCCAUCCUUGAACUAGAGCAUAACCCCCCUGAGGCCUGAGGAAGGGCUUCCAGAGCCCACCCGCCCUGUGGAGGGCUCCUCCUGGAGUCCCCUAAAAUGACUAUCAGACUCCCAGCUCCCAGCCUGGACCACACAUCCAGAAGCAGCCUGUUCAGCCUGGUGCCACCUCGCUGCCACUGUUCCCAGGGCUGCAUCUUCGGGACCUGGCACUCCCAGGACCCUGGGCCACAACUCACACCCUCCCCAUCCCCCUUCCCCCUGCCCAGCCAGUGUCACUGUAACAACUACAACCACGUUGCUUGUCAGUUAUGUCACGUGCCUUACUUUACACACAUGUUCUGUAGCAGAAAAGACCCCACCACAUGUAGGCACUGGGGUGGGACUGCCUGGAUCCAAACCCGGCUUUAUCACUUUGGGACCUUGGGCCAAUUACUUGAACCCUCUGUUCCUCGGUAUCCUCAUCUGUGAAAUGGGACCAAUCACAGAUGAUGUCGUGGAGACUGUAGAUGAGUAAGAGCAUCAUGAGACACAUGCAAAGAGCUCAGCAGGUGCCUGGAACCCACCUGGUGUCUCAGGAGCUCUCUGGUGUGCCCCACGCUACGACAAGGGCUAGGGAUAUUACACAGGGAAUCGCGGUUUGUGCCCUCAAAGCCAGGUGUGUUGGCAAUGCCUGGGAUAAGCAGAGAGGAGGGGUCCCAACCGCUCAUCACCAUGUGGCACGGUCCUGUGUGUCUCCCCGCUGGACUGUCAGCUCUCCAAGAGCACAGACUGGGUUUGUCAGAAUCCCCUGUGCCUCAAGUUACCCAAGAGAAAGCACUUUGUGGAAAGAGGACCAAGGGUGAGUAUGGGGGAUGACGUGUCCCAUCACGGCGACCCGAGAGCCUGAGAUGCUGUGUGUGUAAAGUCUUGCAAGGCAGGGGGACAAAAGGAUAUGGGCCAAAGGGGGCCGAUAAGAUUAACAAGAAGGUAGAAGGAGUGAUGUCCUUGUCCCGGGAGGGUCUCGGUCUUCUCACCUGACAAUGGGACUAGUAAGUUCCGCUUCCUUGCCUCUUAUCUCCUGGCAGUGUUCUAUCAGGAAGGAGAAGAUUAGAUAAAUAAACAGGUUUGAUGGUUAAAUUUAUGUGUCAACUUGAUUGGCUACAGUUCCUAGGUGUUUGGUCAAACACCAGCCUGAUGCCGCCCCUGAAGGGAUUUUUUAGACAUAACGAACAUUUGAAGCAGGCGGCUUUGAGUAAAGCAGGUGACCCUGCGUCGUGUGUGGGCCCCCGUCCAAUUAGCUGACGGCCUUAAGGGGCAGGUUUCUGGAGGAAGAGGGUCACGUGACCAGAGGUAGCCCUGACAGUUUAAUUCAACCCUCACUGCAUUUCACCUGGGACACAUGCUGAGAGGUCAAGGUCAGAGAAGAACAGCUCUUGGAGCAGAGGGGAAGCCAGAUGGGGUCAGGGAGUCAGAGGAUACAGUCAUAUGCAGGGAAGCGGCUUCUGGGGCUUCGCACAGAGGGGGAUGUGGGCACAUGCCCAGUCUCAUGGGGUCCGUGCAGGGGAGCAGCUGAGUCAAGAAUACACAUUUGUGGGGUGCCUGGGUGGCACAGCGGUUAAGCGUCUGCCUUCGGCUCAGGGCGUGAUCCCGGCGUUAUGGGAUCGAGCCCCACAUCAGGCUCCUACGCUAUGAGCCUGCUUCUUCC